rnacentral:misc_RNA from 1 species
CAGCUUUGGCUUUCUCAUAUCUACUGGAGUUAGUGUCCGUGCAUUGAUAAAAGAUUGAACCAUGCCAUUCCCAAAUACACCAAGCAACUUAGCACCAAAUCCUGCAGCUGAGAGGUAUUUGAUAGCCUGCAACUCCCGCUCACGAUUGAUAACAUAAUCCGUGUUAGGACCAUAUAAUCUGACAGUUACGGACACCUCAUUUCCACUGUCUUCCUUUACAGAUACCUUAAGCAAAAGAUUUGUAAUGCCGCCAGAAAC